rnacentral:rRNA from 1 species
AUUGAACGCUGGCGGCAUGCCUUACACAUGCAAGUCGAACGGCAGCACGGGUGCUCGCACCUGGUGGCGAGUGGCGAACGGGUGAGUAAUACAUCGGAACAUGUCCUGUAGUGGGGGAUAGCCCGGCGAAAGCCGGAUUAAUACCGCAUACGAUCUACGGAUGAAAGCGGGGGACCUUCGGGCCUCGCGCUAUAGGGUUGGCCGAUGGCUGAUUAGCUAGUUGGUGGGGUAAAGGCCUACCAAGGCGACGAUCAGUAGCUGGUCUGAGAGGACGACCAGCCACACUGGGACUGAGACACGGCCCAGACUCCUACGGGAGGCAGCAGUGGGGAAUUUUGGACAAUGGGCGAAAGCCUGAUCCAGCAAUGCCGCGUGUGUGAAGAAGGCCUUCGGGUUGUAAAGCACUUUUGUCCGGAAAGAAAUCCUUGGCCCUAAUACGGUCGGGGGAUGACGGUACCGGAAGAAUAAGCACCGGCUAACUACGUG